UGAUGCUUUAAAUUUAUGUGAUGUACAAAUAUAUGAAUCCGUAUUUAUAAUUUUGAAAAUAUUUGCGAUGUUUUACUGGUAAAUACAAGUACAGCUGACUCAACUGAUCCCUUUUCACCCUAUGAUAAAUUAAAACUUAUCUCAAAAAUACAAUAUGGGACGAUCAGAGGUAUUAUCAGUUCUUUCCGAAAAGGGACCCAUAAUAAUUAAGUUGUUACAAAUUUUACUUUUAAAUUUUAAAUUUGUACAUAUUUAUUUAUAGGUAUAAGGUAACUAUUAUUAAUAAUAGGUAUAUUAUAAAUAUUAUGAUAAAAUAAAUAAACAAACUUAUAUGAUGACG